rnacentral:lncRNA from 1 species
GUCCGUCCUUCAUAAGUUUUAUUUUCUUAUACAAAUUUGAGAUGUUUUAUUUUGUAUUUAUAAUUUUCAUUGCUCAUGUUUAUGCCCAUUAUAUUCAUAAAGCAAAGAUCCUCAUUAAACAUUUGAAAGUAUUAAUAUUUUCAGACCUCGACUGUGCCUUAUUUCAUGGAUGAAGGUUUAGUUUUGUGGUCAAGUCCGUAUCAC